rnacentral:rRNA from 1 species
UACGUAGGGUGCGAGCGUUGUCCGGAAUUACUGGGCGUAAAGAGCUCGUAGGCGGUCUGUCGCGUCUGCUGUGAAAUCUCAGGGCUUAACUCCGGGCCUGCAGUGGGUACGGGCUGACUAGAGUGCGGUAGGGGAGACUGGAAUUCCUGGUGUAGCGGUGAAAUGCGCAGAUAUCAGGAGGAACACCGGUGGCGAAGGCGGGUCUCUGGGCCGCAACUGACGCUGAGGAGCGAAAGCGUGGGGAGCGAACAGG